rnacentral:piRNA from 1 species
UCAGGAUGGAACGGGUUUCGUGCAGCAA